UAGCUUUCGCAGCAAAUAUGUUUAAAUUGGAAUGAUAGAGAAAAUAUCAGCAUUGCCUCUGCACAAGAAUGAGAGGCAAACUCAUGAAGUUAUAUAAUUUUUU